GGGUUGUGAGGUUAAGCGACUAAGCGUACACGGUGGAUGCCCUGGCAGUCAGAGGCGAUGAAGGACGUGCUAAUCUGCGAAAAGCGCCGGCGAGGUGAUAUGAACCUUUGACCCGGCGAUGUCCGAAUGGGGAAACCCAGUGUGUUCCGACACACUAUCGUUAACUGAAUACAUAGGUUAACGAGGCGAACCGGGGGAACUGAAACAUCUAAGUACCCCGAGGAAAAGAAAUCAACCGAGAUUCCCCCAGUAGCGGCGAGCGAACGGGGAGCAGCCCAGAGUCUGAAUCAGCUUGUGUGUUAGUGGAACGGUCUGGAAAGUCCGACGGUACAGGGUGAUAGUCCCGUACACGAAAACACACAGGUUGUGAACUCGAAGAGUAGGGCGGGACACGUGGUAUCCUGUCUGAAUAUGGGGGGACCAUCCUCCAAGGCUAAAUACUCCUGACUGACCGAUAGUGAACCAGUACCGUGAGGGAAAGGCGAAAAGAACCCCGGCGAGGGGAGUGAAAAAGAACCUGAAACCGUGUACGUACAAGCAGUGGGAGCACCUUCGUGGUGUGACUGCGUACCUUUUGU
rnacentral:rRNA from 1 species